ACCCACGACGCACCUGCCAGUGCUUCCUCACCAUCUCAAGCCAGAUCUUGAGAGGAGAAGAGGAAGAGCCGCGGAGUGAGAGAUGGCUACUUCCUCCUCCGUGAGCGCCGCCAAAGGCCUUGUCGGCGUCGCUGUCUCCAGUCAUGGUGCCAGCUCCGCCUCCUACGCAGACUGCCUCGCUCUCCCCAGCGGGUUGGCCCUCAGCUCCCUCGCCGGCCUCUCCCUUUCGUCCGCCCCCUCCUCGCGCUUCCUGCAGCAACGUCGGUGGUCGCAUCAGCUGCGUCGCCGUGCGGCGCCCGCCAGGGCAGCGGCGGUGGAGACCGUGGAGGCCGCCACCGCGGAGGCCCUCGUCGAGAAGUCCGUCAACACCAUCCGGUUCCUCGCCAUCGAUGCCGUCGAGAAGGCUAACUCCGGCCACCCGGGCCUCCCUAUGGGGUGCGCUCCCAUGGGCCACAUCUUGUACGACGACGUCAUGAGGUACAACCCCAAGAACCCCUACUGGUUCAAUCGCGACCGCUUCGUGCUCUCCGCCGGCCAUGGCUGCAUGCUUCAGUACGCCCUGCUCCACCUUGCCGGCUACGACAGCGUCAAGAUCGAAGACAUACAGCAAUUCCGGCAAUGGGGAAGCAGGACACCUGGUCAUCCUGAAAACUUUGAAACACCUGGAGUUGAAGUCACUACUGGCCCACUUGGUCAGGGUGUUGCAAAUGCUGUUGGAUUGGCACUUGCCGAGAGACACUUGGCCGCCCGUUUCAAUAAGCCUGACAACGAGAUUGUCGACCAUUACACAUAUGUUAUCCUUGGAGAUGGUUGCCAAAUGGAGGGCAUUGCAAAUGAAGCUUGCUCUCUUGCUGGGCACUGGGGUCUGGGAAAACUUAUCGCAUUUUACGAUGACAACCACAUCUCUAUUGAUGGAGACACGGAGAUUGCAUUUACUGAAGAUGUUAGCGCUCGCUUUGAGGCUCUUGGAUGGCAUACUAUCUGGGUGAAGAACGGUAACACUGGCUACACUGAUAUUCGUGCUGCCAUUAAGGAUGCAAAGGCGAUUAAAGACAAGCCGACACUUAUCAAGGUCACGACUACCAUCGGAUAUGGAUCACCAAACAAGGCAAACUCGUACAGUGUACAUGGAAGUGCAUUGGGUGCCAAGGAAGUUGAUGCAACCAGGCAGAAUCUUGGAUGGCCAUAUGAGCCUUUCCAUGUGCCUGAGGAUGUCAAGAGUCAUUGGAGCCGCCAUGUUCCUGAAGGUGCUGCUCUUGAAGCUGAGUGGAAUGCCAAGUUUGCAGUAUAUGAGAAUAAGUAUAAGGAGGAUGCUGCAGAGCUGAAAGCUAUCAUAUCAGGAGAAUUUCCUGCUGGAUGGGAGAAAGCUCUUCCGAUAUAUACCGUGGAAAGUCCUGCAGAUGCUACGAGAAAUUUAUCACAACAGAACUUGAAUGCACUUGUGAAAGUGCUACCAGGACUUCUUGGUGGUAGUGCUGACCUUGCAUCCUCCAACAUGACACUGCUGAAGAUGUUUGGUGACUUCCAAAAAGGCACACCCAAGGAGCAAAAUGUCCGUUUUGGUGUUAGGGAACAUGGGAUGGGCGCCAUCUGCAAUGGCA